UGGGGAAUUUUGGACAAUGGGCGAAAGCCUGAUCCAGCAAUGCCGCGUGUGUGAAGAAGGCCUUCGGGUUGUAAAGCACUUUUGUCCGAAAAGAAAUGGCUCUGGUUAAUACCUGGGGUCGAUGACGGUACCGGAAGAAUAAGGACCGGCUAACUACGUGCCAGCAGCCGCGGUAAUACGUAGGGUCCAAGCGUUAAUCGGAAUUACUGGGCGUAAAGCGUGCGCAGGCGGUUGUGCAAGACCGAUGUGAAAUCCCCGAGCUUAACUUGGGAAUUGCAUCGGUGACUGCACGGCUAGAGUGUGUUAGAGGGGGGUAGAAUUCCACGUGUAGCAGUGAAAUGCGUAGAGAUGUGGAGGAAUACCGAUGGCGAAGGCAGCCCCCUGGGAUAACACUGACGCUCAUGCACGAAAGCGUGGGGAGCAAACA
rnacentral:rRNA from 1 species